UUUUUUAAUGGUUUAUCUUCACUCUUUCUUUUGGAUUUUCGAAAAAGGCCAGAAAUUCUGCUUUUCAAUGUGGUUCUUUUUCUGCAGAGAAAGUAGCCCUAGAUAUACCUGCCUGCUGUUUCUUGAGUUCCUCUUUAUCCUGGUCAUUGCUCACUGAGCUGCUUCUAAUGGGUUUGUUCAUCUUUUACUGUUGGAGAUUUAUAGCCUCAGAGGCAUACCUAUCUGUACCCUCCAAGUACCUUAGACUAAAACAAAAUUGUAUCUAACUUUCAUUUUUCAUCACAUACUACAAAUAUAAUCUAGACUACGAUAUUUCAGAAGAAUUUCUCACUGAAACGUUUGAAAUGCCUUACAAAACUAGAUGUGAAGAGGGGCCAUGAGAGUCUGAGCUCUGCUGACCAUCUGAAAAGCCUUGCCAGCCUCUGAGAAAUUUCAGUCAUAGACAAAGUCUUUAUUAGUAAAGCAGAAACUGCUGAAAGUUGUCAAUUAAUCUCGUAUUGUUUUGACCAGCCUCCCAAAUUCAAAAGAAACUAGUUGCACUGGAAGCAGUGCUGAAAGAAGUAACCUCGCUGUAAGAUCUUCUGGCAGUACUUACUCAGCAGAGAUGAAUAAGGAGGGAGAACAUCAGAAAGCAGAGGAC